rnacentral:lncRNA from 1 species
UGUAGACUGGAAGUCCAUAUUUUAUUUCUCUAGUGACAUAUUUACAGUUCAAUAUAAAUUAAAGGCCUGCUUGUAUGCCAAAUCCAGGUCCCUUGGGUGGUUCAGUCAAAGGGGUAAGACCUCCAGCUGGCUCACAAGAGAAGCGUCCACUCCUUGUAAUUGUCAUUUAUUUGAACCAUUGGUGCGUUCACACAGGCCCCUAAACAUUCCACUUCUACAAGAGUGAAAAGUUUGUCAGGUGUAGUCUCCCCAAGCUUUAUUCCAAGCUUUUUCUGAAUGGCCUCCAGUAUGCUGUCAGAGUUUGGAAGCAUGCAGGGUGUAGUAGUGCAGACCUGAAUGUGAUACUUUUCAACUGGCUUUCGAUUAUACAUUGUAUAAAAAGUUGCUACUUCAUAUACUCUUAUUGGAGGUACUUGUAAAACUUCUGCAACCUUGUUCAUAGCAGAGAUGGGCAACCACCCAUUCUGCCUUUGGGCUAAAUCCAGGACUGGAAGAACAGCUGCUGCUUUAUGGCCUUCUGGAUAGUUUUUUACAAUUGCCUCUAUCCUCUUAAAUAAAGCUCCUCCAGCUCCAUUUUGCAUAGCUGUCUUAUGCAAUUCCU